rnacentral:rRNA from 1 species
AUUGGUGCUUGCACUAAUCCAAGGAGUUGCGAACGGGUGAGUAACGCGUAGGUAACCUACCUCAUAGCGGGGGAUAACUAUUGGAAACGAUAGCUAAUACCGCAUGACACUAGAGUACACAUGUACUCAAGUUAAAAGGAGCAAUUGCUUCACUAUGAGAUGGACCUGCGUUGUAUUAGCUAGUUGGUGAGGUAAAGGCUCACCAAGGCGACGAUACAUAGCCGACCUGAGAGGGUGAUCGGCCACACUGGGACUGAGACACGGCCCAGACUCCUACGGGAGGCAGCAGUAGGGAAUCUUCGGCAAUGGACGGAAGUCUGACCGAGCAACGCCGCGUGAGUGAAGAAGGUUUUCGGAUCGUAAAGCUCUGUUGUUAGAGAAGAACGGUAAUGGGAGUGGAAAAUCCAUUACGUGACGGUAACUAACCAGAAAGGGACGGCUAACUACGUGCCAGCAGCCGCGGUAAUACGUAGGUCUCGAGCGUUGUCCGGAUUUAUUGGGCGUAAAGCGAGCGCAGGCGGUUCUAUAAGUCUGAAGUAAAAGGCAGUGGCUCAACCAUUGUAUGCUUUGGAAACUGUAGAACUUGAGUGCAGAAGGGGAGAGUGGAAUUCCAUGUGUAGCGGUGAAAUGCGUAGAUAUAUGGAGGAACACCGGUGGCGAAAGCGGCUCUCUGGUCUGUAACUGACGC